rnacentral:rRNA from 1 species
AUACAUGCAAGUCGAGCGAAUUGAUGGGAGCUUGCUCCCUGAUAUUAGCGGCGGACGGGUGAGUAACACGUGGGUAACCUGCCUGUAAGAUUGGGAUAACUCCGGGAAACCGGAGCUAAUACCGGAUAACAUGUUGAACCGCAUGGUUCAACAUUGAAAGAUGGCUUUUGCUAUCACUUACAGAUGGACCCGCGGCGCAUUAGCUAGUUGGUGAGGUAACGGCUCACCAAGGCGACGAUGCGUAGCCGACCUGAGAGGGUGAUCGGCCACACUGGGACUGAGACACGGCCCAGACUCCUACGGGAGGCAGCAGUAGGGAAUCUUCCGCAAUGGACGAAAGUCUGACGGAGCAACGCCGCGUGAACGAUGAAGGCCUUCGGGUCGUAAAGUUCUGUUGUUAGGGAAGAACAAGUACCAGAGUAACUGCUGGUACCUUGACGGUACCUAACCAGAAAGCCACGGCUAACUACGUGCCAGCAGCCGCGGUAAUACGUAUGUGGCAAGCGUUGUCCGGAAUUAUUGGGCGUAAAGCGCGCGCAGGUGGUUUCUUAAGUCUGAUGUGAAAGCCCACGGCUCAACCGUGGAGGGUCAUUGGAAAACUGGGGAACUUGAGUGCAGAAGAGGAAAGU